CCGGGAUGUUUAUGUAUUCAUGCCGAACAUGGGAUAACAGAGUAUAUGAGGAUAUAUAAUAUUAGUGAAGAAGAAAAUGACUGGUAUAGUACUUUCUUCUCUCAGUUCCUUCUCCACUAAUGCCCUUACACCUUUCUUUUUCAGGCUUUUUGUAGCAUCCUAAACAGAAGGAUAUUGAAGGGAGCUGAUUCUGCUUUGAUCCUUAUGCUUGUUGUCAAAGCGCUUGGGAUUGAAGAGACUGUUGGCUACAAUUGACUGUGACAAUUAGGAGAUGAUCAGAGCCCUAGAGUGGAGCACUUAAAGGGUGAAAAAGAUGGUGUAUGAAAGGACUUCCAAAGCACAAACGUAUUUUUUGUUGGCUAUCGACAGGAAAUGACACUUUGCAUUUUUAUCUGAGACACAAACGGAACUGCCUUACUCUGUACUAGAAAGGAAAAUCAUGGAAACAACUCAGAAAUUACUUUCCUAAAUAUGAGGCUCCCUGGCUGCUCUUUGUGCGCCGAGGAUGCGGCUCCGGGCGGGGAGAGGCAGCACCCGCUCCCGCUGUGCUCGCAUCAGCCCGCGGUGCCUCUCGCCCAAGGAUCCUGACACGUGGAGCAUUGAUGAACUCAGCAUAACGUUGAAUAGGAGCUUUUUGGCAGCUGAGACACAAGGGCUAAGCUGCAGGUCAGAGAUAACACUAGUGCAGAUCUCCUCAUGCACACAGUUAGUAGCAUGCUUUCUUCCCUCCUGAGUGCAGGAAAUAGCUCAUGUUAAAUACGUUCA
rnacentral:lncRNA from 1 species